ensembl:lncRNA
CCAUCCCUGUUCUCCCACGGACCACGGGUGUCCACCGUUUCUGGGGUGGCCUUCUUGCACUGAUCCGAGCGCGCCAGGACGUGAAGUGUCCACACGUGCUGAUGAGCACAGACACACGUGGGCCUGGAAUUCCACCAUCUGAUGGCACAGAGUUUGGCGGAGCUCUCAGAGACGUGCUGUGCAAGCGCAGCUUUCCUGGAAGGGGGACCCCUGAGCCUUUGUGAGUGAAUGACCUCACGUGUUUGGGGUGCAUCCUCAACUCUAGGGUAUGGGAGGAAUGCGACCCCAAAGGAAAGGCCAGGGCAUGGCAGGUGGGGAAGGUGCUCAAAAAACACACAGGAGACGUAUGGAGACUGUAAGAGGCAGUGCGUUAACACUGUGUUCAUUGAUGCAGCCGGUGUUUACUGAGGACCUGCAGGUGCCAAGAGUCUAGAGAUACAGCCAUGAACACGACAGACAAGGGCCCUGCCCUCAUGGAGCUCCCAGUCUAGUUAGGAGACAACCGUAAGCAAUGAACCAACUCCUUAUCUCAACCGCUAAGGCCUUUUAUGAUCUGGUCCCUGGCCUUGUCUAACUCCUGUCACCCUCCCCUGGGCUGCGAAGCUCCAGUCACUUGGCUUUCUUUCUAUCUCUUGAACACACCAAACUCAUUUCCCACCUCAGGGCCUUUGCACAUGCUGUUUCCUCUGCCUGGAGCACCCUUUCCCAGGAUUUUCAGAUGACUCUCUCCUUCUCAACUCUCAGAUCUCAUCAACAAACAUCACCUCUGGGGCCAGCCCAGUGGCAGAGUGGUUAAGUUCAUGUGUUCCACUUUGGCGGCCCAGGGUUUCAGGGUUCAGAUCCCUGGUGUGGACCUAUACCCCGCUCAUCGAGCCAUGCUGCGGCGGCAUCCCACAUACAAAAUAGAGGAAGAUUGACACAGUUGUUAGCUCACUGACAAUCUUCCUCAAGCAAAAAGAGCAAGAUUGGCAACACAUAUUACUUCAGGGCCAAUCUUCCUCACCAAAAAAGAAACAGAAAAAAAAAGAAAAAAUCCAUCACCUCCUCAAAAGGCCUUCCCUGACCACCCCAUCUGAAUUUCCCUUCCUCUGUCGGUCACUUUCUAUCCCAUUGCCUUGUUUUACUUUCUUCUCACACUUAUUCCCAGCCUGGAUAAUUAUUUAUUGCUGGGUUCGGUGCCUUUCUUCUCCGUUUAAAUGUGAAUUCCUUGAGAGGAAAGCCCUUGUUUAGAUAAAGGAAACAAACAGAAAGUUAAUAAGUGAUGGGGACUUGGACGCGGCGAGCAGCUCGAUGGGCGAGAACAACGCGCUGACGGGUGCGGCCUGCUCAGCGGGAGGGGCGCGGAAAUCCUCCCCAAAGGCUUUAAACUGAAGGCCGCAGGGCAAGAAGGAGCCAGCCUAGGAAGAGGUGGGGGCUGGGGAGAAGGCUGGAGAUUGAGGAGCGGCACACGCAAGAGAAAACUCCGAGGUCACAAAAUUACUGCUGUGAUUCCGACCAUUGGGUCUUCAUUCCAGGCGUGCAGAAAGAGGAAGAGGGAAAGGCACAAGGCUCUGUGAGCUGAGUCAACUCCAGUUUUUAAGGAGCCUUCCUGGAAGAUGAACUCAACUACUUCCCGUACACUGCUGACCAGAAAUAGCCUGGCAACGGGAUCUGGAAGGGAAGCUGGGAAAUGUAGAUUUUUUUAGCUGGUUUAUUGCCACUGCUUCCGAAAAUCAAAGUCUACCCCCAGGUACAUAGUUGUGUAUUCUUCGUUGUGGGUUCUUCUAGUUGUGACAUGUGGGACGCCGCCUCAGCGUGGUCCGAUGAGCAGUGCCAUGUCCGCGCCCAGGAUUCGAACCAACGAAACACUGGGCCGCCUGCAGCGGAGCGCAUGAACCUAACCACUCGGCCACGGGGCCAGCCCCUCCUUUUUACCUUUUUGAUGUGGCUACUAGAAAAUGUUUACUUCCAUGUGUGGCUCGCAGUGUAUUUCUAUCGCAUGUCUCCGCUUUCCCUCACCCGUACUCGAGUCGGUUAAUAUGUCUGACUCCCUGUUCUGUAACAGGGCUACAUAAGGGCUGGAAUCCUAGUAGGAUUUAUAGCUACUAUUUAUUGAGCGCUUACUAUGUGCUAGGCAUUGUGCUGGAGUUUUUUCACCUUAAAAUUAAAAAAUAAUAAUAAUAAUUAUAGAUUCACAGGGAGUUUCAAAUAAAGGAUGGGGAGGUCUCAUGUACCCUCCACCCAGUUUCCCCCAGUGAAAACAUCUGGCAGAACCAUCGUUCAAUACCACAGCUAGGAACUGGCUUUGGUACAAUUGACCAAUGACUCAGAUUUCACUGGUUUUCAGUAUACUCAUUUGUGAGUAUGUGGAUAAUUCUGUGCAGUUUGCCCACAUGUAGAUUUGUGCAACCUCCAUUGCGAUCAGGAUACAGAACUGAUCUGUCACCAGAGGCUUCCUCCUGGUCCCCUUUUAUAGCUAACGCUCCCCUCUCCCCCGUGCCUAGCAACCACUAAUCUAUUCUCUAUUUUGUCAUUUUGAAAAUGUUAUAUAAAUAAAAUCAUAUAGUAUGCAAACUUUUGCAAUAGGCUUUUUUUCGCUCAUUUUGCAUGCGCCCUUGAGAUACGUCCAAGUUUUUCUAUCACUAAUGCAUUCCUCUCUAUUGCUGCAUGAUAUUCCGUCGUGUGGAUGGACCACAGGUUUUUUAAUCCAUCCUCCAAUGGAGGGACAUUUUGGUUGUUUCUAGUUUUGGGAGAUUAUGCAUAAAGCCACUGUAAGCAUUUGUGUACAGGUCUUUGUGGGAACAUAGGUUUUUAUUUCUCUGGAUAAAGGCCCAUGAGUGCAAUUGUGCAC